CUUAUAUAGUGUCCUAUAGGGCCCUGGUGAAGGUAGUGCCCUUAUAUAGUGUCCUAUAGGGCCCUGGUGAAGGUAGUGCCCUAUAGAGCCCUGGUGAAGGUAGUGCCCUUAUAUAGUGUCCUAUAGGGCCCUGGUGAAGGUAGUGCACUUAUAUAGUGUCCUAUAGGGCCCUGGUGAAGGUAGUGUCCUAUAGGGCCCUGGUGAAGGUAGUGUCCUAUAGGGCCCUGGUGAAGGUAGUGUCCUAUAGGGCCCUGGUGAAGGUAGUGUCCUAUAGGGCCCUGGUGAAGGUAGUGUCCUAUAGGGCCCUGGUGAAGGUAGUGUCCUAUAGGGCCCUGGUGAAGGUAGUGUCCUAUAGGGCCCUGGUGAAGGUAGUGUCCUAUAGGGCC